GGCACCUCGUGGUGUAGUGGUAGCACGCGCAUCUCUGCUAUAGGUGAAACGCGGGUUCAACUCCCGCUCGAGGUCG